GGAGAUGUUGUUUUAAGGUUAAACUAUUAGAUUGCAAAUCUACUUAUUAAGAGUUCGAUUCUCUUCAUCUCUUAAA
ensembl:tRNA Mitochondrial cysteine tRNA (tRNA-Cys)